rnacentral:lncRNA from 1 species
UGCAGUCUUUUAAGAGUUUCGAUGUACUCUUUUAAGAGUUUCAUUUAGGGGGAGAUUUCAUAAAUAAUAUUAUGUUUUUAGUUUAUUUUUGUGUCGUCUGAUUAUCCUCUCAUAGUUUGCAACAAUUAGUUUCCGCAUGACACCCUCUCGAUUUCGAAUCCAACAAGUGUUAUCAGAGUUUAGGGUUCAAUGGUCCCAUGGUGUGGUGAGACGAGAUUAAACAGGUUCAAAGCGGUUUCAAAAUCAUGCUGCAAAAGUUUGGCGAUAAUGAAGAUUUUUGUCUAGCUACAUGUGGAGGAGCUUAAAGCAUAUUUUCAACAUUCCUGGUGUUAUAUCUUUAAAAAUAAAAAAUAAGAUAUUUUUUAAAUCAUUUUAAAUCCAUAAUAUUUUAAACUUUAUUUUUAAUCAUUACAAACAAUAGUUAUGCAGAUUACACGAAGAAAGAGAUGAUGAACAAUUUUGUAAAAAUUCAGGCCAAGGGGAGAGAUGAUGAACAAGUUUGCAAGAAAAUUAAGGCCAAGGAGAGAUUUGCUAGGAUUCUACCAUAAUUGUGUUUUACUCCGAAAAGAAUUUCUUAGUAGAAAAAGUUUACUAGUAGGAAAAAAAGAUCUCUUUCCUGUUAGAUUU